rnacentral:tRNA from 1 species
GGAGGAGUCGCAUAGUCCGGUCUAGUGCGGCCGCCUGCUAAGCGGUUGCCCGGGCCUUAAACCUGGGCCGCGAGUUCGAAUCUCGCCUCCUCCG